GAAGAAGGCCUUCGGGUUGUAAAGCCCUUUUGUUGGGAAAGAAAUCCAGCUGGCUAAUACCCGGUUGGGAUGACGGUACCCAAAGAAUAAGCACCGGCUAACUUCGUGCCAGCAGCCGCGGUAAUACGAAGGGUGCAAGCGUUACUCGGAAUUACUGGGCGUAAAGCGUGCGUAGGUGGUCGUUUAAGUCCGUUGUGAAAGCCCUGGGCUCAACCUGGGAACUGCAGUGGAUACUGGNCGACUAGAGUGUGGUAGAGGGUAGCGGAAUUCCUGGUGUAGCAGUGAAAUGCGUAGAGAUCAGGAGGAACAUCCAUGGCGAAGGCAGCUACCUGGACCAACACUGACACUGAGGCACGAAAGCGUGGGGAGCAAACAGGAUUAGAUACCCUGGUAGUCCACGCCCUAAACGAUGCGAACUGGAUGUUGGGUGCAAUUUGGCACGCAGUAUCGAAGCUAACGCGUUAAGUUCGCCGCCUGGNGAGUAC
rnacentral:rRNA from 1 species